UGGGGAAUAUUGCACAAUGGGCGGAAGCCUGAUGCAGCGACGCCGCGUGGGGGAUGAAGGCCUUCGGGUUGUAAACUCCUUUCGACAGGGACGAAGCGUAAGUGACGGUACCUGUAUAAGAAGCACCGGCUAACUACGUGCCAGCAGCCGCGGUAAUACGUAGGGUGCGAGCGUUGUCCGGAAUUACUGGGCGUAAAGAGCUCGUAGGUGGUUUGUCGCGUCGUCUGUGAAAUUCCGGGGCUUAACUCCGGGCGUGCAGGCGAUACGGGCUGACUUGAGUGCUGUAGGGGAGACUGGAAUUCCUGGUGUAGCGGUGAAAUGCGCAGAGAUCUGGAGGAAUACCGGUGGCGAAGGCGGCCCCCUGGACAAAGACUGACGCUCAGGUGCGAAAGCGUGGGGAGCAAACAGGAUUAGAUACCCUGGUAGUCCACGCCGUAAACGAUGUCGAUUUGGAGGUUGUGCCCUUGAGGCGUGGCUUCCGGAGCUAACGCGUUAAAUCGACCGCCUGGGGAGUACGGCCGCAAGGUUA
rnacentral:rRNA from 1 species